rnacentral:rRNA from 1 species
GGACUACUGGGGUUUCUAAUCCUGUUUGCUCCCCACGCUUUCGUAGUUUAGUGUCAGUUAUUGUCCAGUUCGCCGCCUUCGCCUCUGGUAUUCCUCUUGAUCUCUACGCAUUUCACCGCUACACCAAGAAUUCUGCGAACCUCUCCAAUACUCUAGUGACACCGUUUCCAAGGCACUUCCUGAGUUAAGCUCAGGGAUUUCACCCCAGACAAAUGUCACCACCUACCUACCCUUUACGCCCAAUAAUUCCGAGCAACGCUUGCACCCUUCGUAUUACCGCGGCUGCUGGCAC